rnacentral:rRNA from 1 species
UACAGAGGGGGCAAGCGUUGUUCGGAAUUACUGGGCGUAAAGGGCGCGUAGGCGGCCUUCUAAGUCGAACGUGAAAUCCCCGGGCUCAACCCGGGAACUGCGUCCGAUACUGGGAGGCUUGAAUCCGGGAGAGGGAUGCGGAAUUCCAGGUGUAGCGGUGAAAUGCGUAGAUAUCUGGAGGAACACCGGUGGCGAAGGCGGCAUCCUGGACCGGCAUUGACGCUGAGGCACGAAAGCCAGGGGAGCAAACGGG